AUAUCCAGUGCAGGUGUUUAAGCAGGUGAAUCAGAUUGCCAUAAGGGCACGGAAAUUAUUGCCUAACAGAGGGGAAGCUAGUGAAAACUUGACUCUCAUAUUGACUCCCCAGAUGGACACACAGGACCAGAUGGAACCUCUUUGGGUGCCGGAGAGAUUGGUGAGACGCUGCAAGAAUGAGGCUCCUGAUCCAGUUGCCCCUGUGGAUGUGGUGGAUGAUCCCACAAGCACAAAGGAUGGAGCAGAGAUGGGAGAUCCUUUCGGUAUUCCAGAAGCCGAUACCAGCUCGACAUGACAUUCAAAUU
rnacentral:lncRNA from 1 species